rnacentral:rRNA from 1 species
UACAGAGGGGGCAAGCGUUGUUCGGAAUUACUGGGCGUAAAGGGCGCGUAGGCGGCCCGCUAAGUCGAACGUGAAAUCCCCGGGCUCAACCCGGGACUGCGUCCGAUACUGGUGGGCUUGAAUCCGGGAGAGGGAUGCGGAAUUCCAGGUGUAGCGGUGAAAUGCGUAGAUAUCUGGAGGAACACCGGUGGCGAAGGCGGCAUCCUGGACCGGUAUUGACGCUGAGGCGCGAAAGCCAGGGGGAGCAAACGGGG